GAUUUUUCUUCUUCUCUUUUUUCUGCUUUUUUAUUUCUUUCUUAUUUGUGUAAAUGGGU
rnacentral:ribozyme from 1 species